rnacentral:rRNA from 1 species
AUUGAACGCUGGCGGCAUGCCUUACACAUGCAAGUCGAACGGCAGCACGGACUUCGGUCUGGUGGCGAGUGGCGAACGGGUGAGUAAUGCAUCGGAACGUACCCGGUAGUGGGGGAUAACUACCCGAAAGGGUGGCUAAUACCGCAUAUACUGUUAGCAGGAAAGCAGGGGACCUGCGGGCCUUGUGCUACCGGAGCGGCCGAUGUCAGAUUAGGUAGUUGGUGGGGUAACGGCCUACCAAGCCUGCGAUCUGUAGCGGGUCUGAGAGGAUGAUCCGCCACACUGGGACUGAGACGCGGCCCAGACUCCUACGGGAGGCAGCAGUGGGGAAUUUUGGACAAUGGGCGCAAGCCUGAUCCUGCCAUGCCGCGUGAGUGAAGAAGGCCUUCGGGUUGUAAAGCUCUUUCGGACGGAAAGAAAUCGCGCAGGCUAAUAUCCUGUGCGGAUGACGGUACCGUCAUAAGAAGCACCGGCUAACUACGUGCCAGCCGCCGCCGUAA